rnacentral:rRNA from 1 species
AUUGAACGCUGGCGGCGUGCCUAACACAUGCAAGUCGAGCGGUAACAGGUGUAGCAAUACAUGCUGACGAGCGGCGGACGGGUGAGUAACGCUUGGGAAUCUGCCUAUUAGUGGGGGACGAACCCGGGGAAACGUACGGGCGUAAUACCGCAUACGCACUACGGUGGAAAGACCGGGGACCGGCAAGGCCUGGCGCUAACAGAUGAGCCCAAGUCGGAUUAGCUAGUUGGUAGGGGUAACGGCCACCAAGGCGACGAUCCGUAACUGGUCUGAGAGGACGACCAGUCACACCGGAACUGAGACACGGUCCGGAC